rnacentral:rRNA from 1 species
UACGUAGGGGGCAAGCGUUGUCCGGAAUCAUUGGGCGUAAAGCGCGUGUAGGCGGCUGAGUAAGUCUGCUCUGAAAGCCCGGGGCUCAACCCCGGGAGGCGGGUGGAUACUGCUCAGCUCGAGUCCGGAAGAGGCGAGUGGAAUUCCCGGUGUAGCGGUGAAAUGCGCAGAUAUCGGGAGGAACACCAAUGGCGAAGGCAGCUCGCUGGGACGUUACUGACGCUGAGACGCGAAAGCGUGGGGAGCAAACAGG